rnacentral:rRNA from 1 species
UCGGGAAUUUUGGGCAAUGGGCGAAAGCCUGACCCAGCAACGCCGCGUGAAGGAUGAAGUAUUUCGGUAUGUAAACUUCGAAAGAAUAGGAAGAAUAAAUGACGGUACUAUUUAUAAGGUCCGGCUAACUACGUGCCAGCAGCCGCGGUAAUACGUAGGGACCAAGCGUUGUUCGGAUUUACUGGGCGUAAAGGGCGCGUAGGCGGCUCUGUAAGUCACUUGUGAAAUCUCUGAGCUUAACUCAGAACGGCCAAGUGAUACUGCAGAGCUAGAGUGUAGAAGGGGCAAUCGGAAUUCUUGGUGUAGCGGUGAAAUGCGUAGAUAUCAAGAGGAACACCUGAGGUGAAGACGGGUUGCUGGUCUAACACUGACGCUGAGGCGCGAAAGCCAGGGGAGCAAACGGGAUUAGAUACCCUUGUAGUCCCUGAGCGGGCUGGCAAGGCGCAU